rnacentral:rRNA from 1 species
UAUCCUGAGACGCGAGUCCGUGACCGAAAGGUCUGAAGUUGUUGAGUCUAUGCUGCCUAGAAAAGCUUCUAAGUAUAGGACACGCAAACCGUACCGGAAACCAACUCAGGUGGGUGGGAUGAAUAAUCCAAGGCGCUCGAGAGAACUCUGGCCAAGGAACUCGGCAAAAUAACCCCGUACCUUCGGAAGAAGGGGUGCUUUUUAGGGUGAAGCGAUUCACUCUGUCGAGCCCUGAAAAGCCGCAGAGAAAUGGUGGUGGCGACUGUUUACUAAAAACAUAGGUCUGUGCCAAGUCGUAUAGACGACGUAUACGGACUGACGCCUGCCCGGUGCUGGAAGGUUAAAAGGAGGAGUCAGCGCAAGCGAAGCUCCGAAUUGAAGCCCCAGUAAACGGCGGCCGUAACUAUAACGGUCCUAAGGUAGCGAAAUUCCUUGUCGGGUAAGUUCCGACCUGCACGAAUGGCGUAACGAUCUCCACACUGUCUCGGCCAGAGACUCGGUGAAAUUGAAGUCGCGGUGAAAAUGCCGUGUACCCGCAGAAAGACGGAAAGACCCUGUGCACCUUUACUAUAGCUUGACAUUGGGAUUUGAGCCUGCAUGUGUAGCAUAGGUGGGAGGCUGUGAACUCUGUACGCCAGUAUGGAGGGAGCCAUCGUUGAAAUACCACCCUUGUUUGUUCAGGUCCCUAACUCUUCGCCGUGAUCCGGUAAGAGGACAGUGUCUGGUGGGUAGUUUGACUGGGGCGGUCGCCUCCCAAAAUGUAACGGAGGCAUGCAAAGGUUCCCUCAGGCUGAUUGGAAACCAGCCGUCGAGUGCAAACGCAAAAGGGAGCUUGACUGCAAGAGAGACAUCUCGAGCAGGUACGAAAGUAGGUGUUAGUGAUCCGGUGAUCCCGAAUGGAAGGGUCAUCGCUCAUUGGAUAAAAGGUACGCCGGGGAUAACAGGCUGAUCGCAUCCAAGAGUUCACAUCGACGAUGCGGUUUGGCACCUCGAUGUCGGCUCAUCACAUCCUGGGGCUGAAGCAGGUCCCAAGGGUACGGCUGUUCGCCGUUUAAAGUGGUACGCGAGCUGGGUUUAAAACGUCGUGAGACAGUUUGGUCCCUAUCUUCUGUGGGCGUAGGAGAAUUGAAAGGGCCUGUCCCUAGUACGAGAGGACCGGGAUGGACACACCACUGGUGGACCUGUUGUCGUGCCAACGGCACAGCAGGGUAGCUAUGUGUGGAAGGGAUAACCGCUGAAAGCAUCUAAGCGGGAAGCCUGCCUUAAGAUAAGUUCUCCCUGACGCAAGUCCUGAAGGGCCGAGGUAGACGACCUCGUUGAUAGGCUGGAGGUGGAAG